GCUGGGCAUGGUGGUGCGUGCCUGUAAUCCCAGCUACUUGGAAGGCUGAGGCAGGAGAAUUGCUUGAACCUGGGAGGCGAAGGUUGCAGUGAGCCAAGAUCAGGCCACUGCACUCUAACCUGGGUAACAGAGCGAGACUCCGUCUCAA
rfam:Gorilla gorilla gorilla genomic chromosome, chr20, whole genome shotgun sequence